UACAGAGGUCUCAAGCGUUGUUCGGAAUCACUGGGCGUAAAGGGUGCGUAGGCUGCGGAGUAAGUCGGAUGUGAAAUUUGGGGGCUUAACCCCCAACUUGCAUCUGAUACUGCUUCGCUAGAGACCUGGAGAGGAGUUUGGAAUUCUCGGUGUAGCAGUGAAAUGCGUAGAUUUCGAGAAGAACGCUCGCAGCGAAAGCGAAACUCUGGACAGCGUCUGACGCUGAGGCACGAAGGCUAGGGGAGCAAACGGG
rnacentral:rRNA from 1 species